ACUCAUUUUAGUUUUUGAGUCAUUUUUUAUCCUUUUAACACCUGAGGUAAAGGUAGAUUAGAAUAAGCUCAGCAUCAAUGUAGAGGUUAAGAUGGUAAAAGAUUAUUUUUAUUAUAAAAGACAUUUCCUGAGAUAUCUAAUUUAAAGAAGUUAUCUAUUCCAAAGAGGUCAUAUUGCACUUAAAUAAGAGCCCAGAUUUUAGAUAAAGAUUUGCUUCAUAUCCCGAAGUCAGAAUUGACUUUUCUAUGGCAGUAGGUAAAAUAUUACUAUAAAAAGACAAUAAUUUUUGAAGCACCCUGGAAUGCAGAUAUUACACUUUUACUCUUUAUGUCCAGAAAGAGUUGUGUGGUUUAGCAAGGAUGGGGCAAAGCAUACCACAGAUUCCUUCUACUAGGAGGAAACAGCAUUAUUAUGUUAGUUGUUUCCUUGGUGAGAUUUAUGAAAAACUACACAAAUUCCUCUGCUGGUGAAGGAAACAUCAAGAGUUGGUUAAUAUCAGUAUUUUUUUCUCUUUUAAAUUCUUCUCUCUGCUGUUUUUCCUUGUACUAACUAUCAAUUUGUUCAUAUUGCUUUGAUCUUCCUGUUUCCUUUUUUUUCGCUUCCCCCAAAGCUAUGCUAAACCAAGAAACUUGUGAACUCCUUUCCCAACAUGUGCCUUUAUUUCAGGUCUAUCACCUAUUAAUAUGUACCUCAAACAAGGACUGGAGCGUUGGAGUUUAUCAUGCACCAGAUGAUUACGGCAAGAUGCUUGCAGGUCAGAAAUUCUUGCAACCUGGAUUUUCUUCAUCCCAGUAUAUUAAAAACUAGAUGGAAAAAAAUCCCAGCAAACCCUUUCCAUUUUGUCCUUGAAACAUCACAGAUAGCAUUACUUCAUGGAAGGAACAGAGGUUCAGUCCCCAGAGCUUACCAGACCUUGCAGGCUUUUAAACACUAUCUCUCCACACAUACUUACCCUUUCUUCAGCUAUUUUCUGGUGAAUUCCUCUCCAUCCAAACACAUCGGUACCUUCGGACCCAUUUCACACAAUUUCACAUAGAAAGGUGUGACACAUAACUGAACUUUCACAAGUGUGUACACAAAAUGCUGUGAUAUGCUCUCUUGUAUUCCUGCCAGGUUAUGAACAGAGGAUUGAGAUGCAUAUCCAUAUCUUGACUAUCUGCACUAUAGUGACAAUGCUAAUUCAUAAUCAAGAUUAAGUUUCCAUGCUCUGAUGAAUUAACAUAAUUGCAGGACAUUUCUGGUCAGGUACCUGAAUUCAAGUAACUCAGGUAAGCUGAGAAAGCCUAGGAAGGAGAAUAAAAAAGCUGACAA